rnacentral:lncRNA from 1 species
CGUGGGGCCCGAAAUCAGCAACAUCCUCCAAACGCGACGGAAUGCAGCAGCGCAACUUGCCUGCGACGCCAUGUCUUAAUGAUUUCGCCUGAACAUGAAAGGACACAGAAAUUCGGCAGAGGUGCGGGCAGGUUCCGCGAUGUGAGCCCUAGCAUUCUGUUGAGUCAAUAUGAGUGCUACAAAUCUGCAUUUUGCACAUACCUUGCUUUUGUAACCAUCCGCAGCGCUCUGGUGAGUGCCAGAACUCCACCCCGCCACACGAAUCUUUCUUUGCCCCGCCCCAUAGCGUGUUGGUGAGGGCCUGCAUCUGCUUACGAGGCGCCUAUCACACAAGUAAUGUCUGUUGGUGCUGAGGCACUCAAGGUUUCGGACUGUGCAAAGUCGUUGCUGCAACGAUGUUCGACGUUUCAGGCUGUAUGUUUCACAGUAGUUGUGUUGCUGGUGUUGAUGCUGGUGACCGAGGGACGAAAGCAAGAGCGCAGCGGGCUCAUGGCACGACCCUGCGGGGCUCGCCGCGCGUGCCGUACCCCCCACAGGCCCGUAUUGCGUCGCCCGCCUGCGGGUGCCUAAGGAACCUUGGAGGGACUACAGGCGCAAGCACACUUAGUGGAGUUCGCGGUCGUCAACGGGGCUUACGAGCGCUGUCGCCGCGACUCAGCUUUCAUGCGUGUUGGAUGGGGUGGGGGGAGGCCGGGAGGGGCAGCACGGCGCGAUUGGGCCUUCCUGCCGCUUUCCCGGGCCCAGCAACCUUGAUAGUAUCCAUCCCAACCUACCCACAAGCAGAAACCCCUAAAGAUAACCGCAUUCCUCUGACCAAUCAGCCAUGGCGCAGCAGCCGAAGGGGGCGGGGCCUUCGCGAGGGCUCCAGCCAGCAGACCUGACACAGGCAAGCUUCCGGUGGAUGAUAAAUGUUGCAUGUCUUGAAGGCGUGGCGUGGGAGCGCUUACGCAAACUUGCAGUUUGCGCGACAAUGUCCCGCCUCAAACGAUCUCUGUAGUUACAUAGCUGUAGUUACAUGUUUCGUAUGCUUAUAUAUGCAACAGGAUGAUGAUGACGCAGAGGAGGCUCCCGAUACAGCUGUGCUACUGGCGUCCUUCCGCACCAAGGUGCGAUGAGGGCGCGGCCACUGGGCGGCGAGUCGGCUCGGGGGACUUUCCAUGGCUCUGGUCGCAGGCAUUGGCAAGGAGUAAGGGAAGCCUCCUGAGGGCGCAGCGCAACUGCGUGUUGGGAUGUGUCAGACCGCACACAGCACACGCGCCACGGCGCACUCCGCCGCGACCCCCAACCGGUCGGCCUGCAUUGCCAAAGCACCGGUUCAAGGCUCCUUCAACUGUCGUCGAACAGGUGGUGGGCGUGCGCUACUACGACGGGGAGGCCAACACGGACGAGGUGCGUGUGCGUGCCGUGUUUCGUAACUCGAGACUUUUAAUUUGAGAGACAGGGUGGGGCGGGUGCUAAUGGCCUACCAGCCCGCAUGAGCGUGCCGGUCUUGAAAGUGGCACGGGGACAGGAAGUGGACACACGGUAAGCCAAGGCCAGCUCCAGCACAUACACGCUGGUGCCACUGGCGUUGGUGGUCCGGGCUCAGGCUGGGGCUCAUUUCCACCACCCAAGCUUCCAAAACAAACACGGACGGUGGCGAAUUGGCGAUGAGUAGGGCGGACCCUCCACCCUUGUGCUUAUCUAACACAGAUGGUUCUGCUGAUUCGGGAGCCGAACAACACCUACGACCGCUGGUGCGUGCUGCGUGCCGUCGCUUCACCGGGGCGGCAGCUCGUGGCGUCAAGCCUGGCCAUGUCGGGGCUGGGAGGGGCCGGGAGGGGCUAGGAGGGGCUAGGAGGGGCUGGGAGGGGCCGGGAGGGGCUGGGAGGAGCUGGGAGGGGCUGGGAGGGGCUGGGAGGGGCUGGGAGGGGUGUGGCAUGGUGGUUCGAUAGCGAGCCAGCUCAGUGGCUGGCAGUGGGGUUGGCUGUGGCUGGGUCGUACGACUGGCGCUCACGUGGACGGCCGCGGCUGAGCCCCCAGCUCCACCGCGUGCGUCAGUCUAUAUCAACACACACACACACACACACACACACACACACACACACACACACACACACACACACACACACACACACACACACACACACACACACACACACACACACACACACACACACACACACACACACACACACACACACACGCACGCACGCACGCACGCACGCACACACACACACACACACACAGUUUUCCUUGUGCUCUUUAACACACACACACACACACACACACACACACCACACACAUACACAUGCACACACUCUUUGCACACACUCCCCGCCGCACAGGGCCAUCCGGGUGGACAACAUCCGCGGCGAUAAAAUCGGGCACAUCUCGCGCGAGCAGGCGGCGGUGGUGGGUAGUGGGCCGUGCGUAUGCGCCGUCAUAGCGUUGAUUCCCGCAGUGCCGCUUGCUACGACCUGCUUUUGAGUUUGCCUGGUGGGCGCACAUUCAACUGUCUGCUAAUUAUGGUGCCCGCUAGCAAUCGUAUGUCACAUGGCUGCGUCCGCCCCCGCCGUGAUCACAGCUGUCGCCGCUCAUUGACGCCGGCCAGCUGCGGAUCGAGGGUGAGGGCUGGGUCAAGGGCAGGGGAGGAGCGGGCGUGGUGGGCAGAGGAAUGCAGGAGCACACACGCGGCACGGAGCGUCAAGCAUCCUGCAAAGCGGACACACGCGCUUGCCCGCCUUCCAGCGCCCCCGCCACAUUCCCACCCGCACCUCCCCUCUGUGCCCAACACGCACACGAGCACACACGUUGCUGCAUCGCAUACACAGCCCUUGCGCUGAUACCUCCUUGUGCUCUUGACCACAAGCCACACAACCCUCCUCGCUCCUCGCGCACAGGCGUGGUGCAGGGCGCAAAGGGCCAGUACAACAUGCCAAUUGACCUGCUCGCCUUCACGCCGCCCGAGGCCGCGGACGCGGUGCGGCAGCAGCUGCUCAACGGCGGCAUCAGGCUGGGCAGAGCCGCGGCCGGCAGCUGGGCAGGAGGCGGAGCCGGCGGGGCGGCGGGCGGCGCGGCAGCGGGAGGGGCGCGUGCGAGCAUUCGCGUGCUGACGCCCACGGAGGUGGACUGUGCCCUGGACAAACUGUUCGAUGGUGGGUGCCGGGAUGAGUGGGUGGGUGGGGGUGAAUGGGUGUUUGUAAAAGCGGUGGGGUGGGUGUUGGGUGGGGUGGGUGUUGGGUGAUGGGGCGGUUGGCUGGGUGGGUCGAUCGGAGGGAGCAGCGGAAGAGGGGCGACGCGGGGCCGGGGCGUACAUGGGUGGCGGAACCCCAUGUGGGGAAGCGACUCCUCUUUGCUUUGUGGUGUGUGGCCCAUCCUGGCCGCACCCGUGCUCCCACGCCGUUAGCCUUCGUUACUGUCUUCCUACCACCACCAACACCGCCUGCUGUCACCUUCAUACCCGCCGCCACACCCGCUGCCACGCCCGCCGCCGCCUCGCGCAGAGGUGCACUCCACCGCCGCCAUGCAGCCAUCCAUGCACCCAGACCCCGAGGUACGUGUACGUGUGUACGUGCGCAUGUGCACGUGCAUGUGCUCCUCUGCAAUAUGCCACACGGGUGCAGAAAACAGCGCCACGCACGCCUUGCAUGGGUGGCUACCCCCCACGCCCCCCCACGCCCCCUCACGCCCCCUCGUCCAAGAUAAAGGGCAAGGCCAAACCUUCUGCGCGCUCUGUGGGCUGGUUCUGGAUCUUCGUUUCUUUGGGAUUGGAAUGAACUAACCCUCCCACCCACCCCACGAUCGCGGCUCCCCCAAAAUUGCCUACCGCCUACCAUUUCCUUAUCUGGAUAUGAUGUAGUACCCCCCCCCUUUGUACCUGGCUACGACUUCAUUUCGUAAACUAAUGCGUGUACCCCCCCCCCCCCCCCGCGCUGGACUUCACGGACAUCGGUAACAACGCGUCUACGCUGCAACUGUACCUGCCUACGACUUCACUUUGUAAACUUAAUGCGUGUAACCCCCCCAACCGGCACCACCACCCGCAGGUGCUGUCGCGGCUGUUCCCGCACCAGCGAGUGGCGCUGGCCUGGAUGGUGCGUGCCGCGUGCCGCGUGCGUGUGGGAUUGCUGCAAGUUUCAAACUAGUAAAAUAUUCUUGCUGCCAAGCUGAAGCAUCCCGGCGUAAUGAAGUCAUGGCUCUGGUGCCUUGUCCGCUCUUUACUCCCACGCUCGCGCCCGCAUCCGCACGGUCGGCCGGGGGGCUUGCUUAGCAUCAAUAACCCGCACAUGCUCCUCUGCAGCCAUGCACGCUCCUCCACACAAACACGUUUGGAUCCACGUGUUGAGGUGCCCUGUCCCUGUGCGUUUAUUGUAAAUUGACCACGUGUGGGGCAGGUCGCGCGAGAGAACGACAGCACAAGCCUGCCGCCGUUCUGGGAGCAAGUGCCCGGCACUGCCCCGCGCUUUCGCAGCACGCUGACCAACUUCGUGGGAGCACGCCGGCCGGCGGCCGUUCGGUGAGGAGGGGAGGCUGUAAACACCAGUCCUAACGAAACCGAACCAAGCUAAGCUAGCGGAGCACAGGCAGAGGCGUUAGUUGCAAGCGAUAAUACUUAUGGGAGGGGGCCGAGGCGUGGUGGAGCAGCAGGGCAAGCGGUGCCGGCGAUAAAUGUCGCUGCCGGGGGAUAGCCGGCUAUUGGAAAGCGAAGUGGCUAAUGCGCAAGUAUGAAGCGCCGGCGUCCAGUAGGAACAGCAGGGUGGUUGAGGGGGAGAGGGCUGUCUUCAGGAGGGGGGGAGGCCGGAAGGGGGUAUUGCCCACGCAUAUGCUCCAUGGGCGCCCGCGGAUGCCUGGCUCCGUUCCAGGUGGGUGCAUUUUGUGCCCGAGCCCAACGGAAAGGUCCCAUCAUCAGCAGGCGGGAGGGGGGGGGUUACCAUAACCAAGAAUAGACGAGCAGAGAUGCAACCGCGACAUUGCUGUGUCGGCGCGGCCUGUGACUCGGGUUCAUUCCCCUCCCGAGCUGUCAACAAAAUCCUGAGAAGCUUUCAUUGCUACCCUCGUCUCCAUACCGGUUGUGAUUUUCUUUAUGAAUCGUGAAUGUACUCCCCACCCACUUCCCCUUCCCCCACCCACCUUUCCCUUCAUCCAGCGGCGGCAUCCUGGCCGAUGACAUGGGUCUGGGCAAGACCCUCACAGUCAUCUCCCUCAUCGCCACCAACCGCCCUGGGCUGAAGGAGCUGCCCCCCGUCACGCCCCUCUCACUCGCCGACCCAGACCCCGACGAGCCGCCCACACACACGGCAGCAGCCGGCGCCGGCGCCGGCCCUUCGGCCUCUGCCGUGCCAGCCGAGGCGGCGGCGGGUAAGAGCAAGGCGAGGGGCGGCAAGGCGGCGGCCGCCGAGAAAGGCAAGGACGUGCAGGCGGCCAAGGCGGAGGCCCAGGCGAAGGCAAAGGCGAAGGCCAAGGCGGUGAGGGGCGGCAAGCGGCGGCGCAAGGCGGAGGCGGGCUCUGACGAGGAGGCGGCGAAGCAGGCGGAGGAGCCGCAAGAGGAGGCGGCGGAGGAGGUGGCGGCGGCGGGGGAGGCGGGACAGGAGGAGGAGGAGGUGGAUGACGAUGCGGCCCUGGGCGAUGCGGACGAGGAGGACGGCAGUGACUGGGACGAGGAGGAUGGCGCUGACGGAGAUGAGGAGGAGCAGGGCAGGGGCGCACCUGCUGGGCACGCCGUUGGCCCCUCCGCCGCCGGCCCCUCCGCCGCAGGCCCCUCCGCCGCUGCUCCGUCCACGGGCGGCGCCGCUGCGGCUGCAGCCACGGCUGGUGGCGCCGGCGGCGGUGCGCCCCCUCACGCGGGCGGCCCCCGCGGCACGCUCAUCGUGUGCCCCGUCAGCGUGAUGAGCAACUGGGCGCUGCAGCUGCAGGAGCACACGGCGGGCAACCUCAAGGUGGGGGUUUGAGCGGUGGCUUGUAUGUGUAUGUGUGUGUGUGUGCGCGUUUGUGUGUACGGCAUGUGUUUGUGUAUGCGCUUUAUUCCUUUGGCACAUCCGCCUCUUCCUCCCUCCUCCUGACCCAUGUGACCCUCGUCAGACUCAUCAUGUUCCCUUCGCCUCUAACCUCAUUUACCCCUUCCUCCACGCCCUUCCCCCCUGCUUGCCUUACCUCCCCCACGGGCCGCACUCAUGGGGCUCGCCACAAUAGAAGCCCCUCUACUUCCCCUCCUCUCCUACCCCUUUCCUGCACUCGCUCUCUGCCCCUCCCCCCCGCCCCCGUCUGCACUUGAAUGGAACAUCCCCCCACUAACCAUGAAUGUGCUGUACCGCUUUCCUAAACAUCCUUGCAACCCCACUUCCACGCUGCUACACUACUGUACCUGGCUACGCCUUCUCUUCUCAAAUAAUCAUGAAUGUAGCCCCCGCCCACCCCGCCCCCCCCCCACCCCCUUCACUUCAUAUUUGAUACACACCAUCCCAUGGAUGGCUACCCCCCCACCCCCCCACCCCCCCACACACUUUCGUUUCAUUUUUUAACACCAACACACACACACACACACUUUCGUUUCGUUUUUAACACACACACACACACACACGCACGCAUGUUUUCCUUGUGCUCUUUAACAUACGCUCGCACACGCAGGUGUACCAGUACCACGGUCCGGAGCGCUCCUCCUCGCCCGCGGUGCUGUGCGCGCAGGACGUGGUGCUCACCAGCUACGCCGUACUGGGCCGCGAGCUGGACGGCGCGGGCGGGCGGGGCGGGCUGCUGGGCGUCAGGUGGCUGCGGGUGGUGCUGGACGAGGUGCGGGUGUGUGUGUGUGUGUGUGUUUCGUGUGCGUGUGUUUCGUGUGCAUGCGGGGGUGGCGGGGGCAGGCGGGGAGAGAGCUUUGUGUGUGUGUUCUAUCAGCAAGUGGUUUGCUGUGUACGGUGCCGCAUCACGAUGCUUGCGUGAUGUCAUGUCCACGCCUGCGCUGUCGCACACGCGCACGUGUGCCACACGCGUGGCCAGCUGACUACCCACACUUCCAAACCCCCAACUCCACACCCCACACUCCAACCCCAAACCCUCCGUCCAUUCCUCCCCUCCUCCUCCUGCUCUAGGCCCACCUGGUCAAGAACCCUCGCGCCAAGGCCUCCCGCGCCGCCGCGCAGCUGCAGGCGGAGCGGCGCUGGGCCGUGACCGGCACGCCCAUACAGAACAGGUGGGGCGAGCAGAGGGAUUGGGGCGGUUGCAAUCCAGAAGCGGUGGGGGGCGGGCUUGGGGGUUGCAAAGAUUGGUACAGAGAAGUGUAGCGAAGUAGGCAGCACGCGUAGGGGGUGGGGGUCGGGGGGUGGGGGUGGUUUCGGAGCACAAGUGGCCGUGGGGGGUCGGGGAGUCAGAGCUGGGGAGGGGGCGGCAGUGGGGCUGGGUUGCCGGGAGCCGCGAACCUGGAACCUGGCCACAACUACUACUCCGUCCUUGAUCUCUUCAACUCUACCCCAUCUGAAAACGCCCCCUACCCCCAUGGUGUACCGUCUGCCACUUCCUUAAUUAGUCAUGAAUGUAACCCCCACACCCACACCCACACCCACCCUGCCACCCCCACACACAGGAUGCAGGACCUGCACGGGCUGCUGGUGUUCCUGCGGGUGGACCCCCUGCAGGUGAGGGGUGGUGGGGGAGGGGGAGAGAUUGUGUAUGUGUGCGUGUGUGUGUGUGUGGGGGGGGGGGGGGAAGUGCCCGAGCCCAACGACAACACAUCAUUUCUAAAAAGCCCACCCAGCCACGGGAAUGCAAGAUGAGCGCGCCAGGGGCUGCGGAGGGGCUGCGGGAUGGAGUGUGGGAAAACGCGGCUGGUUACGUUUGGCCUGUCGCUGUGUCGCAUGGGCUAUGCUGUUCAGUGCCCACGUCGUCGAUCCCAGCAACCACCUCACCGUCGCACCCGCAGUAGGAGUGUUGGGGGUGGGUGCAGUGAGCGGGGGCACACAUAGACUUGCGCACCUGCACGCCCCCUGUUGUUUGAGUUGCCAAACACGCCUUCCCUUCCCUGUCACCCCAUCUUUCCCCCGCUCGUUUCAGCUGGUUUUGGUUUAGGUUGGGCUGGUAUUUACAACCCCGCCUCCCCGCCUCCCCGCCUCUCUGCCUCUCAUCCCUCCCCCCUCAGGAUCGUUCCCUGUUCACUCGCACCAUCGAGCGGCCGCUCAAGCAAGGAGACCCGCGCGCCGUCAAGACCGUGCAGGUAGACAGGAGUGUGUGUGCGUGUGUGUAUGCGUGUGUGUGUGUGCGUGUGUGUGCGUAUGCGUGUGUGCGUGUGUGUGUGUAUGCGUGUGUGUGCGUGUGUGUUUGCGUGUGUGUGUGUGUGUGUGUGUGUGUGUGUUAAAAAACGAAACGAAAGCCCGCCCAAUGACGCGACGGAGUUACUUACCGAUACCCACCAUUUUACCGAGCGUCGCGUGACUGUCGUGACCCAGGUAGUCAUACUUACCCGCGAUAAGCCUGGAACCCCACGGGCGACCAUUCGGCCUGACCCCGCGAUGCACCUGUAUGCGUCCAUGCUCCGCACCCUGGGCGCGCCGAACAACGUUUACCCAGCACGCCUAAUUCCCAGAUUCCCGCCCGCUGGUCGUAGUCAAGCUCACCUAUAGGCAAAAGUGGAAGCAUGGGCAUAGGGCGGCAGCGAGGAAGUGUCACGGGCAUGUGAAUGGCAACGGCGACAAGAGAGGCGGCGUGCAGCAGACAAGCUAAGUAUCACGCCUAAUUCCCAAAUCCCGCCCACUAAGUACAAUAACGCUAUGGAAAGAGGGCGAGUUAGCGAUGGCACUGCGACUAAACGGGGUCAAGGCUGCAUGGGGGACGUGGCGGGCGGCGGUUGCAGCGUUUCCAGACGUGUCAGGCUGGUGUGUGUGCGUGUGACGUGUGUGCGCCGUGGGCUGGCGGGAGCUGGCCUCCCGCUCCCCACUCCACGGCGGCACCGAGGCUAGGCACGCUCGCGGCCGCAAUGGCCGCGUCGGCUGUUCGUGACGAGCCCCAGACGUGUCAGGCUGGUGUGUGUGUGUGUGUGUGUGCAAGUGUGCAAGUGUGCGAGUGUGUGUGUGUGCAAGUGAGUGUAUGGUGAACGCGCUGGGCACCAAGAUGAGCGCGCUGGACACCAAAAUGAAACGCGCUGGACAUUGCGUCCAUCGCGUUUACCUUGCUUUCCAGCGCGCUCACCUUGGUGCUAAUGUCCAGCGCGUUCACCUUGGUGCUAGUGUCCAGCGCGUUCACCUUGGUGCUAGUGUCCAGCGCGUUCACUAUUGGUGCCGGUGAUGUGCGUGCGUGUGUGUACAUGUGUGGCGGGGUGAGGCUGUGUGCUCCGAGGGUGCGGGCGACCGAGCUCAGCCGCGCUGUCUUGCCUGCUCCUGCCCCUCCCUCCGUGACCGCCCUGGACCCCCCGCCUCCCCCCUUCCGGCCCUCCCACCUGCCCCCUCCACCCCCUCCAACCCCUCCACCCCCUCAUCCCCUCACCCCCUCAUCCCCUCCCUGCCUUCCCGCGGCAGGUGCUGAUGGGGGCGCUGGCUCUGCGCCGCACCAAGGACCUCAGGGUGCGCGUGUGUAUAGGGUUGGGGGAGGGGGGGGGUUAGGGCUUCAUGGAGAAUGGAGUGAUUAGAUCACAGUCUUGAAGUGCCGACGUCCAGUAGGAACAGCCGGAAGUUUGUGUGUGGGGUUGUAAUUACCAGCACACACUGAACCGAAACCGAUGCAAAAGAGCGAGGAGGGAGGGGGUUGUAAAUACCAGCCCAAAGUAAACCAAACCGGGGGGAAGGGGGGCAGAAAGCGGGGAGUGGUGGCGGGCAAACGGCGAGGAGGUGGGCGGGUGGGGAGGGUAGCAGUGUGCCUGGACAGCCCACGGCGGGCGUGUCAGGCGGCACGCCCCCAAACCUCCCCCACGCCCCCCACACCCAACCAUACCCCCAACCCCCACGCACCCCACACACACCCGCAGGUGGGUCCCGCCGGCCGGCCGCUGGUGGCUCUGCCGUCCAAGACCGUGCGGCUGGUGACGGUGGACCUCACCCCGGAGGACCGGGCCAAGUACGACGCGUGAGUGGCGAACUAUAUAUUUCAAACGCAUGUGCUUUUCGGGGUUUUGGGGAUGGGGCUGGGCAUUGAUGAACCAUCAGGAGUACUGUAUCCAGGUACGAAGUACUCCAAGCAGCAUCAGAGGCGUCCGUGUGCGUUUUCUGCGUCUUCCUUGCCAUUCGCGAAACACCGCGCGCACGUACGCCCUUCAAACAGACACACGCUCUCUUCCCCGCCUUCACCCGCCCCACCUCCCCCGCACACACACGUACACACGCACCAAAUUCAGUCUGGAGCUGGAGGCGCGGCGCAUCAUCUCACACGCGCUGGCGACAGACGAGCUGCUGGACCACUACAUCAGCGUCCUGGAGAUUAUCCUAAGGCUGCGCCAGGUGCGGAGGGCGGGCACGUCGCCGACCGAUCGACAGGUUCAACAAUUCCUCGCGGGUGAUAUGAUCUCUCUCUAGAAUGAUAAUGCCUGCUGCGCCCCGAUUGACUUGCUUCCGUGUAACAUCAUGUGAUACUGCGGCUUGACAUCGGCACACCUACCUAAUUCUUUGCUUUCGCAUGAACGCGCCCAUUUCAUCAUUUCUGUUUAUAUCUCGAACCCAACUGCGCGUACGCAGGUGGCGGACGCGGGCUGCCUGUGCGGCCGCGACCCGCUGCCCCUGUCCGACAUCUUCAACGCAGCAGCUAGGCGCCAGGGGCGGCGGGGCCGCCGCGGCGGCGGCGCGGCGGCGGCUCUGAGUGAGGCGGAGCGGAAGGCGCUGGUGGAGCUGCUGGUGCAAGGGCUGCAGGUGUGUGUGUGUGUGUGUGUGUGUGUGGUUUCGUGGGUGCCCCGCGGAGGGGUGGGUGGGUUCAACCAUUGCCAGUAAGAAGCCCGGAAGGGCCACGCAUACAACCCCAACGCAGCAGCCCACCACAAACACACUUGCACUUCACAUUCACAUACCCACAGUUUUGCGUGUUUCUGGCUCCUUGUGCUCCAUCCCUGACACUCACAUUCCUCCACACUCUUUCACUCUCUCUCAUACUCGCUCUCUCACACAUGCUCACAGGCCCAGGACAGCUGCUCCAUCUGCCUGGACGAUUUCACCAAGAACGCAUGCAUCACUCGCUGCAAACACAUGUACUGCAAACCGUAAGUAGCUGCACACCAAGUGCGACAAUUCUAAACGGUUUGCAGGCUUGGCUGGCCUGGUCUGAGCCUCGGCCGCCCGUGUCAACUGCCUUGAACCGUGCCACCCAUCACACUACUAUUGAAACACACUGCCCUGGUCUCUUUUGCCCUGGUUUCUUUCUCCCGCUCACUCCUUCGCUCCUGUCUCGCUCAACCCAUAGCUCACUCCUUGCCCUAACUCCUGCAUUCCUGCCUCGCUCCCUCACUCCUGCCUCACUCCUGCCUCACUCCUGCCUCACGCCUGCCUCACCCACUCCCUCACCCCUGCCUCGCUCCUCCCUCGCUCCCUCACUCCUCACACGCAGCUGCAUCGAGCGCCUGCUGACGCGCUCGCCGGACGCCGGCUGCCCGCUGUGCCGCGGCUACUUGGCGCUGGCCGAGCUGGUCGACCUCCCGCCCGAGGCGGCGGCGGCGGCGGAGGGCGGGGCCGACACGCAGGUGAGGAGGCGUGCGUGCGCGUGCGGGGUGGUAAUGGUGGUGGUUCCAUGCAUGAUUAGUUAUGAUGCGAUGAUGCUGAAAAGUCGUUACAGCAGGUCAGUUUUGGCGUUUGGGGGCCGGGGCCUCGUUUCGGGGGGCUUCACAUGCGGUAUCGUAGUAAUAGUAAACACGCCCUAUCCAUUCCAAGAUUUCCGACCCAGCUCCGCCCCACCCCAGGCCGGCUCAGACGUGGCCGACCCCGUGGCCGCCAGUGCCAAGGUGGCCGCGCUCAUGGCGGCACUGAGGCAGCAGCAGCAGCAGGCUGUAGCAGCGGGCGGCAGUAGCAGCAGCGGAGCAGGAGCGGGGGCGCCGCCGGCGAAGGCGGUGGUGUUCUCGCAGUUCACAGGUGCGCGCGACAUGAUGGUGGACAUUAUGGUGGAGGUCAGAAAGGUGUAGGCUUUUGCGGGCCCUCAACCCCCAAACCUCCCCUCCCUACCUCCUUGUCUCUGGUUUUCUUGUUGGGGUUCGGAAUAAGCUACCCACAUCCGCCUCCUACCUGUUCAACUCCAGGCAUGCUGAACCUGGUGGGCCGGGCACUGGAGGCGGAGGGCAUCUCCUACGUGCGCCUGGACGGCUCCACGCCGGCCAAGGCGCGGGCGGAGCGGCUGCGGCGGUUCGCCAGCCGCGAGCCAGGCAGCCCGCUGGUGUUUCUGGUGAGGGGGUGAGGGAGGGUGUGUGGGAGGGGAAUGAGAGGGGGUGUGGGAGGGGGUGUGGGAGGGGGCGUGGGAGGGGAGGGGGCGGGGGUGUGUGAGGGCGUGUGGGAGGGGAGUGGGAGGGCGUGUGAGGGGCGUGUGAGGGGGUGUGGGAGGGGAGUGUGAGGGCGUGGGAGUGUGUGUGAGGGGGUGUGGGAGGGGGUGUGGGAGGGGAGUGGGAGGGGAGUGGGAGGGCGUGGGAGGGCGUGGGAGGGCGUGGGAGGGGCGUGGGAGGGGCGUGGGAGGGUGUAUGAGGGCGUGUGAGGGCGUGUGGGAGGGCGUGGGAGGGCGUGGGAGGGAGUAUGAGGGCGUGUGAGGGGGUGUGACGGGCGUGGGAGGGGACUACGUUCAUGAUGAGUUAAGAACGUGGUAGACGGUAGGGGUGGGAGGGGGUGUGAGGCGUUAGGCGAGGGGGAGAGUGGGUAAGGGGGUGAGAGGCGAGUGGGCAGGGACCGUGUCUGGUCUGACGUGUGGUCUGGUGCGGCGUGGUGUGGUGCUGUCGCUCGACCUGGCGUGCAAACUUACAUGGCGCGUCGCGAAUGGGGGCGGGGGUACCAGGGCCUCAUGCACUCCCUCUCACGCCCCCUCUCGCACAGUCCUCGGCCCCAGGCCCCACCCCUGACCAAUCCCCUGCUCGCCCCACCCCACCCCACCCCACCCUUGCCACCCCCAACCUCCGCCGCCCCACCCGUCUUCCCUCUCUCCCCCCUGCCUCUCCCCCCCUCUCCCCCCUACUCUACACUUCUCUGUACCAAUCCUUGCAACCCCCCUCUCCCCCUUGUCCCGCCCUGUCCCGCCCUGUCCCCCCCGCAGUCCAGCCUCAAGGCGGGCGGUGUGGGCAUGAACCUGACCGCCGCCAGCGCCGUACACCUGAUGGACCCAUGGUGGAACCCGGCGGUGGAGGAGCAGGCCAUGGUGCGUGCGGGUCGGGGUUGCAAGGAUUGGUACAGAGAAGUGUAGCGAAGUAGACAGCAGGUGUGGCGUUGCGCGUACCGAUGACCGACGCCGUCCACAGGUCCAGCGCCAGAGCUCGCCGUGGCGUCCCGUUUUGUGCUGGCUAUACCUAAGUCUAGAAGCAGGGGGCGCUGCAAGGAUGUUUGGAAAAGCGGUACAGGAUGCAUUGGGCGGGGGGGGGGGGGGUUACAUUCAUGAUUAUGUAAGAAGUGAAGGCGUAGCCCAGCGCAGUAGUAUGUGAAGGGAAGGGGGCAAGGGGGUGUGGCGUGUGGGUUUUGAGGGCAUGCAGGAUGUGUGUGAAAAAGGUGCGGCGGGUUCGAUGGGCAGUGGCUCAGCAGUCUGUGUGGCGGGGGCUCACCAAACGGCGCCUUAAAUGCUCUUUCCGUGCACAUGCCAGCCCCUUUGCUUGGCACGCUUACUCCAACUACUACUCGCUCAAUGUACGAACACACGUGCGCCCACGCAGGACCGCGUUCACCGGCUGGGCCAGACACGUGACGUGGAGGUGUGUGCGGUGGGAUCUGGGGGUUAACUUUUGAACCAAUCCCGUAGGGAAACAGUCGCGCUGCAAGGAGGCCGCCGAACGGCUCCCUCGCAACCCUGUCGGCCUGAACGCGGGAUCGGGGGGGCGGGGGUGCGUGGGGGCGGGGGCCGGGGGCCAGGGGUCAGGGGCCGGGGGCGGGGUGUGCGGCACGGCAUUGCCGUACGUGGUCGGACGGGUGAGGCAGUGACGAUGGGCGCGGGUCCCUGACUCCCUGAGGUCUGUCGGACCUUGUUCCCUGCCGGUGCCCUGUGCACAAGAUGGUCAGAGAGCACAGGGCAUGGAGGUGUUAGUGGGAAUGUGUGUGCAAGUGUGUGCAUCCUGCCGCCGCCGCCGCCGCCGCCGCCCGCAGGUGUUUCGCUACGUGGCGGCGAACACCAUUGAGGAGCGCAUGCUGCAACUGCAGGUGCGUGUGUGUGUGUGUGUGUUUGUGUGUGUGUAUGUGUGUGUGUGUGUGUGUGCGUGCGAGUGUGCGAGUGUGUGUGUGUGUGUGCGUGUAUGCGUGUAUGUGUGUGCGAGAGUGUGUGUGUGUGUGUGUGUGUGUGUGUGUCUGUGUGUGUGCGAGUGUGCGCGCGCGCGUGUGUGUGUGCGAGUGUGUGUGUGUGUGCGAGUGUGUGUGUGUGUGUCUGUGUCUGUAUGUGCAUGCGUGUAGGUGGGUGUGGGCCAAUAGAGGGGGGGACAAACGGGGAGGACAAGGAAGAGGAGGAGCGACCGGCUGCGGGAUGGCUUUGUGUAGAUGGACGUGGGGUUGGCAAACAGGCAGCCUCCCCACCCACUCAAUCCCACCAGCGGCACCGCACAGCAGUCCGCAACGCACGAGGUCCUCCACGUACGCGCGCGGGGGGCUUGGCCACGCCCCUCCUCACCCACCCCACCUUGCCCACACCAUCCCACAUCAUCACACCUCAACGGUCACCAACCACACCCCACCGCGCCCCACCUCACCCCACCUCACACUACACCGCCCCCAUUACUACUGUUCCUGGCUACGCCGUCACUUGUUAGAUAAUCAUGAGUGUAACCCCACCCCGCCGCCACCUCCCCCUACCGUCUACCACUUCCUUAACUAAUCAUGAAUGUAACCCCCCCAGGAGCGUAAGCGGCAGCUGGCCUCCGCCGCCUUCGACCGAAGCGCCGCCGAGAGCGGCCGGAUGCGCAUCGAUGACGUACGACUGCUCAUGGGGCUGGAACCGGGUUCGCAGCUGGAGCUGGAGCUGCGGGUGCAGCGGUACCAGGAGAUGGAGGUAGAGCUGUGGCUUGGGUCAUGACUGGGUGAUGACUGAAAGUUGAUGGCGGCUGUAGCCGAACCCCUGGCGGGGAUGCCCAUGGGGCUGAGCCAGGAGCUGUAGCUGCCGCUGUAGGGGGCGACUGACAGUGGCAGCUGGUGUGUAUGUGGGUGGCAGCUGGAGGCUGUAGCAGCGGCUGUAGCAGCGGCUGUAGAGGAGCUGUAGCAGCGGCUGUAGGGGGCGAAUGACGGUGGCAGCUGGAGGCUGUAGCAGCGGCUGUAGCUAGCUGGCGGCGGGCGGGUGUCGCUGGCUGGCGGCCGGAGGCUGUAGCUGCUGGAUGGGGCUGCUGGGUGGGGGCGUAGGGCUGCUCGUGGAGCUGACGCGGUUGAAUGUGGUGUGAAUAAGGGCUUUGUGCGUGCUCAGCUCUAGAUAGGAAUGCAACGAUGUGAAUACGGGCAGCGAAACGGUACGGUAGCUGCAAGGAUAGCUGGAAGGACUUGGCGUGUUUGGCAGCUCCAGCGGAUGCUUGGCAUACGGCGGGCACAGGGUCCUUGACUUGUGGCUGUGCGAGUGAUCAUGCCACAAGACAGGAGUCACCCUAGCGUGUGAGGGGAAUGUGCUGGCGUAGUCGCGCGAGUGCGCGACGUAGUGCGCGACGUACUCUGUCGUUGUGCAGAACGGUCCGGUAGUGACUUGAAGAAAAGUAGGUAAGUGCGGUCCGCGAGCCUGAGCGGACUGGGCAUCUAAGCGCAUGCCAUACUGCUGGGCGCGGCCUGUAUUCACGUGGUGAAACACGCCGCCAAGUCAAUUCAGGAGCAUCACCAGCCAGUCACUCAGUCAUCAUUUGUCGUCAACCGGACCGGCAGCCCCACCGAAGUUUAGCACACGAUCGCACGAUGCCAUGCCGGAGCAUGCAGCAGCGGCACGCGCUGCUCCUUCCUCGCCUAACCCCCAAACACGCACGGGCCUGAAGCCACACAGCCCUCCUCCUCACCACCUGUACCUACAGCCCGCUAGCCUCGUUACAGCUUGAAGGUACCGCUUAUGUCUGCCGCCUCAUGCUCCACCUAACGCACCGCCACCAUCCACGCCCCUUCACAUCACCACAGCUUCCCGCGCGUCGCAGCGCCCCUGCCGGCCGUGCAGCACGUCACCGCCACGCCGCCCAUGCACCGUCAGCCCGUCACCUGCCCUGCAGGCUGUGCAGCAUGUCGGUGCACGUGCGGAUGCGGCUGGAGGCGCUGGACAGGUCGCCCAGCAGCGCCCGCACGUGGGCCUGCAGCGGGGGAAGAGAUAGAGGCGGGGGCAGGGAGCGCGAGGUGGCGGCGUGGUGUAACGGAAUGUGGUGGGGUGGUGGCGGGGCAUGUGACAGUGCUUAAGUGACAUACCGGCACUUAGUUUGAGCUAGAAGCACGAAGAACUGCGACGUGAAGACACCCACUCGCCCUCUCACCACACCCAUACCGGCUCCCCAACCGCCCACCCACCCGGACGCAUACCGCCCACCUGCAGCUGGUCCCAGUCCUGCGAGGGGCGGCCCGGGUGCAGCCCCUGCGCGCGCACCGCCGCCGCCAGCGCCCGCAGGCAGCCCUCCAGCCCGCCCAGCGCCACCGCCACGCCGCCCACCGCCGCCUUGUCAUCCGCGAUGAAGCCCUUGAGCGGACCACUGGCGGCGCCAGCCGCCGCGGCGCCGCCACCAGCGGCGGCGCCCGCGGCGCUUGGCGCCGUCGCGCCAAGGCCUGCCAGACCUCCCUCGCACACCAUGUCGGCGUCCACGCAUGAUGCAGCGGCAGCGGCUGCGGCUGCAGAGGCGGCAGCAGCAGCAGCAGCAGCAGCAGCCAGGGUGGUGGCGGCGGCCGUCAAAGCCUCGCCGCCCUGCGACACCGCACGCUGCAGAGCCGAGCUCGCCGCCGGCCGACCCAGGCCUGCGUCGGGCAGGCACGCCUCCCGCGCCGCGCCCUCCAGACGCGCCGCCUCCGCCGCCCGCGCUCGCGGCGCCGACGCCGCGGCGGCGGCGGCCGCCGCCUCCUCGUCACUCAGCCGCCGUGACCAGUACGACUUGAUGAGUGCAGUCAGGUGCGGCGGCGGGCCGGGGGCGCCGGAGGGGUCGGGCGGGAGCAGGCGCCGCAGCGCGGGUUUGUGCUGCUCCGGCACGGUACGGCAGAUGCGGAUCUUGCUGUGCAGCGCGGCGUGCGUGACGGCGGGGUGCGGGUGGCGCAGCAGCACGUGGAAGAGCGCCUGGCGGGCCGGGGGGAAGUCGUGUGCGUGGGGGUGGUGAUGGUGAUUGUAGGUUGCAACACGAGUUUGGCGGUGGGCUGAGGAAAGAACCGUGUGUUUCGUCACCAUGCAGCGGGCUGGGGUUUGACAUAAAAUACCGCGUCCGUAUCGCGCACUGCAAACACAGCAGCUUGAGCCCAACGGCCUGGCACCCCGAGCCCGCCCGAACCCCACCUCCGGCGGAGGGGAUGUGCAGAACUCGGCGGCCGCCGCCACGUCCGCCACCACCUCUGGCGGACCCGCCUCCGCCAGCCGGGUCAGCGCGGGAGCCGCCUCCGCCAGCGCCGCCGGCAGCAUGGCGGGCGCGGCCCGUGCCAGCAGCCGCACCGCCGCGUGGGCGGCCUGCAGCGAGGCUGGGGUGCCGCUGACGCCGCAGCUGCUGGUGCUGGUGGUGUUGACGGCGUCUUCGGACAGGGUCUGUCACAAGAGGUGGGGCUAGUCAGCAGUCACCAACAAUGAACAUUACGUACACCGGCGCCUUGCAAACCGGGAGGUGCAAUCGGGCAGCAGCAAGCCACCGUGGCUACCCAGCAGCACGUGCACCUGGUGCCUCACCUGCAGCAGUUCCACCGCCGCCACCCCCGCCUGCGCCACCAGCGGCUGUAGCGCCGAACAGCUGGAUGCGCCACCGCCCCCACUGCCCCCAUCACCCGCACCCGCACCACCACACGUGGCUAGCGACUGGGCAUGCGCCAACGUCACCUCCAGGCAGCCAAGCAGCUGCGCCAGCCAGGGCCGCAGCAGCGACGCCGCGGCGGCCGCGGCCGGUGUGCCGCCGGCGCCCGGCGCCGCGGCGGUCAGGAUGGCCGUCGCCUGCGGACCCAGACCAGACCAGACCAGACCAGGCCAGACCAGACCAGACACGCAUGUCAGCACAGCGGUGAUGACACACGAGGUGCAGCAAGCAAGGCGCAAUGCACUGGGCGGGGUGCGCACUCAUUGGCUUUCCGCGCUACCGGUAACGCACGUGUACGCGCACAAGGUUACGCGAUCUCCACCUCGACGAGGAGCAGAGCAAGCGGGCGUAGGGCGGAGCCGCAGAGGGCCGGUUCCCACAUUCACCCACCUGCUUGACCGCCGUCAGCAGCUGACUGGCUCGAGCAGCUAGCUCCUGCUCCGUUACGCAGCCCCGCCCAGACCCCAGCGGUGGCCCAGCGCUGCCCUGCGUUGUUGGCGCCGCGUGGCCCGCCGCCGCUGCGGCGGCGGCGGCGCCAGCUGCACCGGCGGCGGCUCCCCACAGCGCCCGGGCGGUGGCGGCGCUGCAGGUGUCGGGUCCGGCGGCGGAGCCGUGUGUGGCGCUGAAGUGGAGGUGGGGGUCCAGCACUUGGCGCCAGGUGGCCCCGGCCCCGGGCGGCGCGGCCUGUGGGGAAACGGCGAGCUCCAUUCAGUUAGCAACGGCGGGCCGACAGGUCUUAGGAUGUAUGGGCGACUUUGAUGAAAAGGGUUUGCAGCUCGAGCCAAGCACUCGGCCGGGCAAGGAGGGGCAGGAAGGGUUCACACCGGCAGCUGGCGUCGGGCGCAGCAGCUGCACCCGCGCGCCCACCACGCUAGCACGCAGCUGGAAACCAUGUUGACUACAUGCCUGCAGGCCGUCAGCUGCACUGCUGCCGGCUCACCGCUAUCAGGGAUGAGAGCAGGCGCUCCAGCCGCCGCGCCGCGCCCGCCCCCUCCACGACGUGUCCCACCGCAACCGCUGCCGCCGCCUCGGCCGCCGCCGCCAGCCCCGCCAACCGCGCAACCGCCGCAGUGAGUCGGCCGCCCAGCGCCGGCUGGCAGUGCGCCACCAACGUGGACAGCACGUCGGCGGCGGCGGUGGACAGCAGCGGGUGCGCGCAGCUGCCUGCGUGUCGGCGGCAACAAUGACGGAGGGUUUGCAGGCGAGGGUCGUGUAUGCCAUGGCGACAAGCGUGGUUUCGGCAUGCAUGCACGGCACAAGCUGCGGAAGUGCGUCCAGGGACAAAGUCUGCGGUCGCAAAGGAUCCUCACACAAGCGCGCGGCAAUGCACGCGGGGGAUCCGCGACACUCACCCCAGUUGCACAGCACGCCGCACGCGACCUGGAACGUGUCCACGUCCUGCCCGCCCGGCGGCGGCGGCGCCGCCGGGGCAGCGCCGAGCUGUGGGUGGUGUUGAUGCUGCUGCUGGUGGGGAUGGCUGGCGGCAUCGGCGGCAACGGCCGUCAGCGUCAGUGCUGCCGCCGCCAUUUGGUGGGGCAGGUCCAGGCAGGGGGCGGCCGCCGCCGGCCCGCCCAGCUCCAAGGCCUGGAAGUCGGUGUGCAAUGAUUAGCUCAUGAAGCGAAUUGCAGCGGCAUUGCUGCAGCGCCCUUCAUGCCAUCAGCGCACAUGCAGGGAAGCCCAUGCAACGUCGGCCACGGUCUCGUUUUGCCAAUGACAUAUGUUUGCGGCAACACACACAAACACACACACACACACACACACACACACACACACACACACACACACACACACACACAAUUGAGGCAACACACCCACACCCACACGGUGCACACGCGGCCCGCCUACCAAGUCGUACAGCCGUGUCGACACGGCGUGCCCCGCCCACGGCAGCAGCCGCCCCGCCAUGGCCGCCCGGGUGUCCGGCCCCAAGUGUGCCGCCCGCUGCAUCAGCGCCAGGGCCAGCAUCACCGCGCCGCAGCAGGCGGCCGGCGGCGGCGGCGGCGGCGCUGCUGCUGCCGGCAGUGUGGACGGGGCGGAGGCAGAGCUGGGCCGCGCCAGGGCCUCUAGCUGAGACAGCCGCUCCUGUGUGCGCGCGCGCAGCGUGCGUGAGGCACGGCGAAGGAAUGCAUGUAAGGGGAGCUAGAUUUAUUCAUCAGGAAGAGGCGCAACGCAAGCAGCCGACACCCAAAACCCAGAUGCGCAAACCAACUGCGUCCGUUGGCAGCUGCGUCAGUUGCGCGCAUGUUGCGGACACAAGUAUGUGUGUUUGAAGGGGCAAGCGCAGUGCGGCGUACCGCACAUUCCCACAUGCGCAACGCUGCCCCCCCACCUGGAUGUCGUGCUGGCUCGCGGGCAACAUCGCCGCGACCAGCCCCGGCUGCUGCCCGCCCGUCCCCGGCCCCGCCGGCGGCGCCCCUGCCGCCGGGAAGCCGCUCCACGCCAGCACCGGCGCCGCCGCCUCUAGCGUCAUGGCAAUGAGCGAGGUGAGCUUUAGCAUCACCACCGACUCCAGAUCCUGCGCCGCCCUCGCAUGCGGCGAGGCCGCAGCCCCCGCCCCCGGGCCCGCGCCCGCGCCAGGCUGCUGCGAGCCGGGCUGCCCCGAUGCUCCAGCGGCCGCGGCCCCGGCCCCGGUGGCGGCGUAGCCGCAGCUGGCGAUGUGUCGGUACAUGUCGGAGGCAGCUGCGCACAGCUCCGGCCAGCAGCCGGCGCCGGCGGCUGGGUGCGCCUGCACCGUCUUGACGAUGUGCUGCAGCCAGAAGCGCGCCACCUGCAGAGCGGAGACAGAGACAAAGGCAGUGGGCAGAGGCAGAGAUAGAGACAGUGGGCGGAGGCGGUGCGGACCGAGGCGGUGCGGAUGGAGGAGGCGUUGGGAAGAGCGGCGCGGAGGCGGUGCGAGGAGGAGCGGGGGCGGAGAGGUCAUGGCCAGAGCUUUGUGCGCACAGCCGCGCGCGCGCGCAGCCUACAUGCACUUACAUCUGCCGUCCCGGCCGUCCCAUGCGCUUCUCGUCCUCUUCCCACGCCCACGGCCCCAAACCCGCACGCCGCCUCACGCCACCCCACGGGGUUCGCACCUUGAUGCGUGUGUCGAAGUCGGCCGGCCCGCUGCCGGGCAGGGCGCGCGCCUCCGCCACCAGGUGCCCCAGCAGCCCGCGGAGCACAGCCGCCACCACGCCGCCUGUGCGUUGGGCGCGGGGUGGAGAGCGGGCCGGGGCGGAGUGGCAAGUGGACAGGAGGGGGGCAGCGAGGGGGGGGCAUGUGUUCCCGACCCACAUCGCCCAGAGCAUUUCCGAAAGCACCGGAGGGUGUGGCCAUCCAGCAUCGGCAGGACGAAAUCACGGAUCUAGACACCCGACACUAAUGAACUCAAUCGCUGCCUACUUGUGACCGACGUCCGCUGUGCAACAAGCUACAUAUAAAUGAUGUAACCCGGCGCAAUGCAGGAGCCCCACCAGCGGACCCCGCAGCCUACCCCAUCCGGGCGGCUGGCCCCAUAGCUGCAUUCACAUGCCACACAUGCGCUCGCUCGCUCUUUCUUCCUCACCGCUCAGCAGCUGCGGCAUCCCGUCCGGUGGCAGCCCCGUCAGCGCCCGCGUCAGGCUGGUCCACAGCACAUUUACGCCGCCGAACGAGCGCAUCUCACGUGGCACCUGCAGGGCAGUGAGAGUGCAACAUGCCAUCGAUUAGCAUCGCGCUUUACAAGCAGGUAUCGGUGUCAACGGGCAGCUUGGCAUGUGCCUAGCGGGAACGCAGCCAGUGCUGAUUGCGCCGUGGAGUUCACACACGGACCCCGGCAUGCGCACAUUCAUUCUCACACACGCGCUCUGGCCUCCCAGGUCACCUGGGGGUCAUUGAUGCUCUCCGCCGACUUCUUGGCUGCGGGGAGGGGUUGGGCACGGAAAUGCAUGAUCAGGGCAGCUGAGGGCCCACGAGCACAGCCUCACUCCGCCCUUGCCGCCGCCUAAGAUGCGGUGGCCCCGUCCGUUCUGCAUCCAGAGUCCGCAACAAGCACGUGUCGCGGCCUUGUCCAUGCGCGCCGCACCGCGCCGUGCCCGUCGGGGUCGGCUACCGCACCCACCCAGGAGCCGCAGCCCUUCAGCCAGGCCCGCCACCAGCGCCCGGCACGCCGCCAGUCGCUCCUGGCCGCCGCACGUGUCCAGCUGCGGCUCCACCGCUGCACACGAACGCGUGAGAUGCCAGGUGGGCCAUAAAAGUCAGGAUCAAAGCCCCACACGCGGUGCGAAUGCGGCAAACGCUACCGGUGCUGCACAGCUGCCCCUCAUCCCAGCAUGCAUACAUCCCUGUCGGUACCGCACGCGAAUCGCGAACCCCGGCGCCAGCGUUCCCAGGCGACAAGCCUGCCCUCACCAGGUGACCAACCUAACCGCGGCCAAGCAGCCUUAAAGUUCUCACAUCGGUGCCCCUCCCCCGUGCAGGCGUAGCCUACAGCCACCCACCCCGCCAGCACGCGUCAGCUGCCUCCAACGCCGCCGGCGCCAGGUCCUUGACGUAGGCACGAGCAGCGUUGCCCAGGGUCACAUACAGCUGCGGCCCCAGCGCCGAAUACCACCUGUGCUUGCAAGCGGCGUUGGCAAGAAAUGUCGGCGAGGCCAGGGCCGAGAAGCUGGCAACACGGUAUGCGCCAACGCUGGUGUGGAGUCCUUCGCGGGAUCCCGGACACGUCGUGGCUCUUACUCGGUGGAGAAAAACGCGUAAGACGCCAGUUCUAGCGCUGCCACCACAAAGUCCUGCACGGCACCGAAGUCCGCAUCGGUUCAUGAGGUAGGGAGUUGGGAAGCUGUGCUUGAAUGCUGCAUCGUCCCUGCCCAGAUGCCCCAGUCAUCCCUCACACCCCAGCCCGUACGUGCCUUGAGCGACGAGCAUGUUGUGGGCGCCUCAAGAGCCAUCGCUGUCGCCACACCCUGCGAUAUCCACGACACUGUGCUGCCAGCAAGCUUCACGCAGUCCUGCGGACAUGUGGGCAGCCGGGACGGGGCAGCGGCCGAGGGGCUCAACCGGACGCACACGGGCGUGCACGACGGUUCGCAAGGCAAGGCCGCUCCUGCUGCAGCUUGCCUGCAUAGCCUCCUGCCGCCCCCCUGCAUAGUCGUUGGCGAUGCGCCCAUAGCAGGCGCUCUGGAACGCCGAAGCCAGACCGCCAAGGAUUUGCGCGGCGCUGCUCAGUUCUACAGCCGCUGGCUCCAGCGACGAAAUGCGCUCUAUAUAUGUAUGGAUAUGACUAUGGUGCAGCACCGCGCUGCUGCUGGCAUGCAACUUUUCCUCCAUUCUCACAGCCCUACACAAGUGUUGCAGCUACAUGAAAUAAUCUAAACACAAAAUGCUUGUACUAAAAGUGAAUCAUGUUAGACGCACAGUUGUGCGUGCACGCUCACGAACUGUCGCUAAUUUGCAUUUGCUGGAUUCAAGCAAUCAUCUUUUGUCAACCUGAAUGCUAUAAGUCUCUCAAGAAGACCGUAAACAUACCGUGUGCACAAGCAGGGUGUUCAUAUGGUUUUCAGCUUGCGCUGUGUUUCGGCACGGGGCUGCUCAGGCCCCCGCCCCCGUUUGUGAGCCCCUAGUCCCCCCCAAGUUAACUGCCUAGCUCCAAAUAUGGUCACGCUAGCGCUGUGCCCUCGUAACCAAAUCACUCGACUCGUCCUCUUGCUGUACAUAACAUUACUAACUGCCCUGUCCAUUCCACCGAUUUACAUACAUACUACGUGGCGCGGUAUCCCGUCUGACCGCAUGAAUUUGGCUCAUUCUCCGCGCAUUCAUGGCGCGGUUUCCGCUGUAACAUUAAUAAAUUAUGGAUCCCUAGUCCCUACAUGGUUCUCUUAUCCAUGACUGCACCAUGUCUGCCUUGAAGACUCCUUUACUACUGACAUCACCACUGAAUCCUAGGCACCGACCUAAACCACCAUCAGCCGCUGCCUGAUCUUUUCCGUUCCCACUUCCCAGUCCGCUUGUUGCUGUUGCUGCUGCUGUCCCCUCACCCCCCAUAGUUCUCACCCAUUGAGUGCGCCAUGAAGCCCCAACCCGCAAUGCAGAAGUCACCAGGCAGUCAGGCGUGAGAAAGGCAACGCACCAACCGCUGAAUACAACGCAAUUAACGUCACCACUCUUGGCUUGGGGCCCCUGUCUGGCGGUUCUGCAAGAGGUGUACCAUAAUCACGCCCUUUCCUUACUCGCUGCUAUUCCACUCACCCAUCACCCAUGCAUGCCAGGCGCCAUCUACCACCGCACCCCAAUCCACAUACCUUUGUGGCCGUCACGACCACACAAAGCCUCAUCUCAUACGUCAUAGGCUCAUAGCAGCAAGGCUCACCGCCCCCACUCCGCAACCGCCGGUUCAUGCGCACCUGGCACCUACCAACCCGCCACAAUCCCCUCACUCCCUCAACCCUCCGACCUGCGCCGCCGAUGGCCUGCCAGCCGCCCCGGCCCCGCCCCCGCCCCCGGCCCCGCCGCCGCCGACCUAUCCGCCACUGCCUGCAGCAGCUUCACCGCCAGCUGCCCGCCGUCGCCCUGCGCCAGCUCCGCCAGGCUCUGCGGCGCCUGCGCCAGCACCUCCCGCUGGUGCGCCGCGUACCACCUGCACAGCUCGUCCGCCAGGACAAAGCCCCCGCCGGCUGCCCCAGCUGCACCCGCUGCACCCGCUGCACCGGCUGCCACAGCUGCGCCCGCUGCACCCGCCGCACGCGCCGCGCCUGCCGCGCCGCUUGCGCCAGCAGUGGCGGUGGCGGCGCGGGCCACCGUCAGCGGCCAGCCGGUGGACCAGCGCAGCACGGCGGUGAAGGUGGCGGGCCGCACCACCUCCAGCAGGUGCCGCUGCGCCGCCACCCGCAGCCCGGGCAGGUCGAGCAGGUGCGCCAGGUCCGCCACGGCCAUGCUGGUGUGGGCGUCCCAGUCCUCCGCGGCGCCCGUGUACAUGUAGGCCACCACGUGCCGGAACACGGGCGCGGUGUAGGGCUCCGGCAGCGGCACCACGCCGCCGGACGCCGCGCUGCCCACCGCGCCGAACAGGUCGGCGAAGAAGGGGCUGCGCGCCGCAAGCACCGCCCGGUGCAGCGGAAAGUCCUGACCGCCCACCCGCACCACCACAUCCGGCUGCGGGCUCCACACACUGCCGCUGCCGCUGCUACUGCCGCUACCGCUGCCGCUGCCGCUGCCGGCGGCGGCAGAUGCAGCGGCUGCCGCCGCCCCGCCGCAGCCCGGCGGUAGCAGCGCACCCAGGUCGGCGGCGAGCGCCGCGCGCCUGGCCGCCGCUGCCGCCGGCGACGUGAGGCAGUCCGGCGUGAGUGGCCGGCAGGGCCGCAUGUCGCCGCCCAGCCUGAGCAGCCGCAACUGUCGGCAGUCGGUGUGCGGCUCGGUGAUGGCGAGCCAGCCGUGCGGUAGGAUGCGCAGGUGCGGGCUCCAGCCCCGAUUAUGCCGCAGCUCCGCGCAGCUCCGGAGCGUCAUCAGUGUGGUUACGCUGACGCGGCCGUUGCCGCCGCCGCCGCCGCUGCCGUUGCUGCUGCCGCCGGGGGAACUGCCGCCUUGCGGUGGCUGUAGCCGCACGCGGACCAGCCAGCCCAUGUUGAUCGGGUUGCCGUCGGCGUACACGUCUUCAGGGCCUGGCUCCACCUCUGGCUCAUCGCCCUCGUGCACGAGCAACAGAUCGCCACUCUCCUCCACCGCAAUCCCCCGGAUGUAAUGUAGCUUCGGUGGUGUAGCGCCUGCUGCGGCCCUUGCCUCGGUCCCGGCAUCUGCACCAUCCCCUGCUGCCGCGUUCGCGCCUGCGGCGGGCGCAAUCUCACGCCCUGCCUGCACGUCGCCCCCCGCCCCCGCCUCCUCUGCCCCCGCUGCCUCUGGCUCCGCCUCUUCUUCAUCGUCCUGGUCCGAGCCGUAGAUACGGCGGUGCCUGCCGUGCACCAACCUGCGGAGUUCAACGCCGCCUGACGCGUUCUCCGCCCACUCAUACACGCCCCCCUCCGCCGCCAGGUACAGCGUGUCCGUGGGGUAGUGCAGCGCCAGGCCGGCGGUGGUGCCGGCCUGCGGCGGCAGCAGCGCCUGCAGCGCCACAGAGGCGAUCUUGCGGCCGCACACGCCCGGCAGGAAGACGCGCACCAGCGCGGCCUGGUGGACCCGAUGGCGGCUACCGGCAGGGUCGUCCUUGUCCUCGAUCCGCCAGUCAGCAGCAAUGUAGAGGCAGCCCUUGCCGUCAGGCACCAUGCCGUUCGCGCUCCGCACGCCCAUGUUCAGCAGGGCGUCGGGCGCCAGUAGCCGCGUCACGUCGCCUGCGCGGCUAAGCGAGAGCAGCCCCAGUUUCGGGCCGAGCAGGUAGGUGAGGUUUGUGCAGGGGUCGUGCACGGCGUGGUGGGGGUAGGGCGGGUCGUCCUUGCGAACCGGCUUCGGCAGGGCCAGGGGGCCCUGCAAAGGCAGAGCCGAGACGGAGCCAGGAGUCCGGGGUCAGAGCCGGGUGCUUGGCCAUCAGAGGGGUGAACGACGACAUGCAAAACCGGUCAAUUUCGCCCACGGCUCCACUAUUCCGUCAUCUACAUUUAUAAUGACACAUUGUUGCGACGCACCGUUGGGCCUUUGGAGGGCGUUGCGGAGUCGAGGCCUACCAGCGACAUUGUGUAAGGUCUUGUGCCGUGCGCCGAGACCUCCCCGUUGUAUCGUUCCGAGAAGUCAAAAUAUACUUGUACGCUAUUAUCAGGAUGCAAACACACCGCUGACACGCCCAUCCCCUGAAACUCCAGAACUACGCUCGCUGCUGCCAUCGCCCUGUCGGCUCGUGCUGUUACACAAUAUCCGCAUGCACAAUUCAGCAGGAAAUGAUUAAGAGAAGGUUACAGAAAUAGGGCCCAUGCAGAGGCAGCCUAUCGGGCAGCCCAUUGGGCAGCCCUGCAGCCAAUCCGGCCAGCCCAGGCUGCCCAGCAGCGGCCGUGCGCGGCGGUACGCAGCGGUACCUACGGGAAAUUUGUGCAGACGCUUAACGCUGAAGCAACAGCACCCAGCACGGCUACCGGAAGCACUAAGCACAACCUUGCAGAAGCGCGCAGGACGUCUCCAACAGGUGGGGUGGACAAGGGGUGGGCUUGGGGGAGGGGGGAAUCCGCAAGAGUGCACCCGUGAUGGAACAUGGCAAGGGGCAGGAAAGCGUAGUCCCGAUGUGUGUGGCUCCCACCCGUGCCCACAUAAAUGCGUAGCAAGAAGGGACAAGGCAUUGGUGCGUCGUUCGCGCGCUGUUACUGUACCGACGGUAGCUGGCAGGUUGUGUCGAUGUUUUGCUGACGCGCAUUCCUCACGCUCCGGGCGCCCGGCCAAGGCGAUAGCACCACACAGACUCAAUGCGACGCCACACCGCGCGGAUAGCAUAGCCGAUGCGCACCUGCAGGCAGUCGACCGGCGUCCACGGAUGAGCUGUGUAGACGAGCACUAGCGUAAUGCAACGGCGUGCAGCAAAACAAUGGCCGGGCGACAGUGUGACAAGCAGGGGCAAGAACAAGGCGAAGCAAAGCAGAAGAGUGCACCUGUGCAAGACGCCAAAGUUUGGCAGGGUCGACCAGUGCCCUGGGGAGACGCGGUGAAGUUGAGAGGGUGCUCUUGAUGAGUUGAUGUGAUUAAAUCGCAGGAGUCCGACGGGCGGCAGAACGCCGCAACGUGGCAGCGGCUCGGAGUCACAGACGUUCACGCCCUUCACGCUCGCUCACGUGCGCGAGGGUUAGGGGUCCGCACCCGUACUCCUCUCAGUGAAGUGCUAAGCCCCAGUAAAUGAUGUGCACGGUACAAUAAAUUACAGUCAUCGCGGCACUAAUCGGCACCUCCCUCGCUGCUAAAAACACUGCCCUAACCAGGGGAAGCCCCUUCACGGGGCCCCAACCCGUUGCGCAUCCAUCUUACGUCUCUAAUCCACUACCAGGCAAUCAGGCAUGGGCAAGCGCAGGCCUGACUAGUCUAUGUUAAAGAGAUGCCGACUGUACACAAGCCUACCCUCUAAAUCCCAGUCAACAAAUUGUCACGUGCGAAGGGAGUGCGGCACCCCUGGAGCGCGGUAUUGAGUCAACUGCGGCAAUCCGACCAAUCUUUGCCGUGUUCGUGCUCUUGUUCCUGUAACAUCGAGGAUCACUAGUCCCUGCACUGAUUCCGUGAUCCAUGACUGCAAGUGUCUGCCCCUUCAACAGAUCGACUGCUGCACCACCUAAGCUCCCCUGAAUCCUAGUCACCGACCUAAACCGCCAUCAACCGCUGCUUGAUCUCAGCCGCGCUGUUGCCAGCGCCGUCUGAGCCCACACUUCCGUUCCCGGCCCCCUUGCCACUGCUGCUGCUGCUGCUGGCAGCGGCUGGCGCCGUACGCAACGACAGCGGCCCGCCUGUGCCCGCCGGCAGCUCCACAGACACGUCCCCGAGCUCCAGAUGCACCUCGGGUGGCGGCGCCAGCACCGUAACACGCGCGCCGGUCCGAAGCACCCGCGUCAACGCGUCACGUGUCGUUGCAGCCGGCGACUCGGAAGGCGUCGCGACGUCGGCGCCGGCAGACGUCGCUGCGGCAGCAGCUGCGGCGCCGGGUCUCCCGCGCUGCCGGCGCUGCUGCUUCUGCGGGUGCGCCACCCCGGACGUCGACGCCUCUGCUGACGCCCGCCGCUGCGCCGCACCAGAUGCGGACGGCGCCGACUCCUCGGCGUCGCUGCCGCUGAGGUCAGGGUCCGCAAGACCCGACACGGACACGCGGCGCCGCACCUCGACGCCGGCGCCCUCAUCAUCAUCAUCCGCCCCUGCCGGCUCCGACUCCCCCUCCUCCUGCUGCUGCUCGUGCUGGCUCGCCGCCGGCCGCAGCCCCGCCUGCUUCCUGGACAUGGACAGGAAAUGCCCGACCUGCGUGCGAGCAUACCGGAUAGCCAGCCAGCACUUAGGGUUGAAAGAGUCUGGUAGUCCCAAUGAUUCCUGCAAUCCUGCAACCUGCUCCGCCUGCCUCUUUGCCAGCCCCCGGCCGCCCGUGCCGCUUACCUGUGCCCGCUACCGUGGCCCUCUCCCUACGGCCGACCCUCCCAACACACACGCCCAACCGCCCGCCUCCCCACCCAUACCUGCUGCGCCGCGUAGGCUCCGCUGCCCGCCUCCAGCGCCCUCAGCCGCUCCUCCGCCUCGCCAAUGAAGUCAUCGACCUUGGCCAGCCCUUGCACCGAGUUGAGCUUGCGCAGGCCCGUGAUGAUCUGACCCAGAUCGAUGGCCGACAGCCCCGAACCCGACCCCGCGGCGUCCGCCGCGCCUGCUGCUACUGAUAGGGCUGGAUAUGUUAAUGCCGACCCAGUAGAAGAUGGAGAUGCGGAGGCAGAGGGCGAGAGGUCGCGCAGGCUGCGCAGCGGGGGCUCCGCCCCCGGCUGGUGCAGCGCCGAGGUGGGGGCCGCCGCCGCUGGUGGCGGCGGCUGCGCCGCCUGCUCCGCCAGCGCGCGCGCUGCGUUGACGAAGGAGUACGUCCAGGCGGGCGGCGGGCUGAGCUGCAGCUCCGCCAGCGACCAGGCCAAGGUGGCGAGGCACCAGCCCGACAUGGAGCCCAGCUUGUGGUACGUUACCUGUGGGGCGAGAGGGAGGAGGAAAGAUGAAGGGAGGAGGAGGAGGCGGUGGAUUGGGCGGUUGGCAAUGUAUGGAGGAAGCGCAUGCUGCGAGGAUGGGAGCGGUUGCAGGCCUGCGGCCCUGCUUUCGCAGCGGUGAGUGCAAGGACUGAAGCUGGUGAGCUAUGGGCCGUUGCGGGCUGGAAGCGAGUGGACAUUGUGCGAUUGGACGUCACGCUGCACAAGUUGAUUCGCACACCUUGAGGAAUUCGGCCGUCCACUCCUUGUCGGGCCGCCGCCGCAUGUGCGCCAGCGCCCACACCAUGGAGCACAGCUCCUGUUGAGUGGGAAGAGGGGGGGGGGGGUUGUAAGUACCAGCCCAAACUAACCCGAACCCAAUGCAGUAGAGAGAGGAUGAGAGCGCGGCCUAUGCUUGACAACGGAGUGGCACGCGACAAUAGUCCCGAAAUGACUUGGCGGGGGGUUGCAGAUACCAGCCCAACUGAACCAAACCAAACCAAGCUAAAUGAGCGGAGCACAGGCACGGGGUGAUGAGCGAUGAGGAGGCAGUGAGCGCGUGAAUAGCGCAUGGUGAGCGCGCAAAGGGCGGCGAAAGGCUGCGUGCGUUGUGAGCCAGUACGCAGUCCUUGCCGGCUUUCCGACGCAUGCACGCCGUGCCCCCUCCUUGUCCAUCCGCGCCCUCCAGGCACUGCUGCAUUCCUGCAUCCCAUCUCAUGCCAUGCCGUCCCCUCCCUAACUACACGCACGCACGCACGAAGUAACGCACCUGCGGCUUGAAGCUGCUGAGCCGGCGGUCCGUGGCGAUGAAGAACAGCGCCAGCACCUCCGCCGGCAGCCGCUCGCCGCGCACGCCCAUCUUCGCCAGCGCCCACAUGGUGUUGGCAACCUCCACAGGGCUGAACAUGCUGGCUGUGUGCUGCAGCCGGUUCAGCGCGCCGCCCAGCCACGCCUCCGGCGGCGCCGCGCCCAGCCGCGCCAGCGCCCACAGCGACUGGCUCAGGUCCACGGGCUUGAAGUAGGGAAGCUGGCGGUAGCUGGCGUCGUAGAAGUCGCGCAGCCAGGAGCGCGAGGGGUAGAGCCGCAGCCGCGCGCAGGCCCACACGCAGUUGCACAGCUGGUUGGCCUCCAGGCGAGGCAGCUCCCACUCCAGCGCCAGCAGCAGGCGCCGCCCCACCUCGGGCCGCGGCUGCGCACCCCAGCUGCCCAGCGCGUACAUAAGCGUCGACAGGUCCAGACCGUUGUAGGGCGCCAGCGGCCGCCGCGGCUGCUGCUGCUGCUGUUGCUUGCGGCCGCUCCUACUCCCGGAAGAGGAAGCGGCUGCAGCGCCCUCCGCCUCGACCUCGUCGUCUUCGCUCGAGGAGCUGAAGCCGGAGCGGUCCCGCAGCGCCUGCAGCUGCAGCAGCCGCCGGCGCUCCUCGGCGCUGCGCGGCAGCCGCGCCGCCGCGUGUGCGCACACCAUGUCCAGCAGGGCGGAGGUGGGCGGGCAGCCCAGCUUGGCCAGGCCCCAGGCCAUCUGGGUCAGACCCUGCGGAGGCCAGCGGGCGGGCGGGUGGGCGGGUUGGGUUCCGGGACGCAGGGCAAGCGCGGCGCGGCGCCACGACGCUCUGCUUUCCGUGCUCACCGAAUAAAGCGCGCACCGCCGCCGCAUGUACCCGCACAGACACCAGUCGGUAUACUGGUGCAACCCUGCUACCAAUUCAGCCGACGCAUCAACCCACGAGCUCCUGCCCCCCGCACACGCGUGUUGGCGCCCGCACGCACACACAUACACGCACGCGCACACCUGCGGCGAGAAGGCGCUGGGACCCAGGGCCACCGCGCGCGCCUGCGCCGCCGCCAGCCACUCCUCCCCCGGGUGCUGCUGAGACAGCGCGAGCGAGUAGACCACGUUGGACAGCGAGCGCCCGCAGAAAGAGCCCAUCUGGGCCUGUGAACACAAGAUAGGUGGAGUGGCGAGGUGAGUGGCAGCAAGCUUCACGAUCAAUACUGCCCGGCUACCCGGCCAACAUGGCGCCUGUUACCGGCAUGUUCCUCUCAUCAACGCCAUUAUCGACGGUAUCAGGCCUGGGAGAUUGGCAGGCCUAGAGCGCCCACUUCUGUCCACUGGUGCAGCGUUUAUGCUCAAGCGUGCUAGCUAUCACCGGGCUGCGCACGCCACAGCGGGGACGCCCUUACAAACGCCCGACCCACCAUGACUCCGUAUUUGAGCUAUGCGUGAAAGGAGCUACGCUACAUCCAACUCGACCGUCGCUUAAGGUUCGUUCCAGUGCCCUCCGUUCUUCCCUCUUCGUCCACCAGUCCCCCUCACUCCACGCCCUCGCUCCGCACCUGCGAGUGCUCCAGCAGCUGCCGCAGCCGCGCCGGCGCCACCUUGUAGUGCAGCCGCGCCAGGCCCCACAGCAGCGUGCUCACCUGCGGUCACGGGCGCAGAUGCAGGCUCCUUGUCCCGCUACCCCAUGCGCAGGAUGUGCCGCGCCCCUCGCCAUUGCCGUAUCCCGGCACCCGUAUCCCUCUCCAGUGGAUGCCUGGUUCCGCCAGCCUGCACAACACUUCCAGCCCUGCUGGCAGUCACAGCCGUGGCGCCCGCUAGCCUCUGCCGCCUUCCAGCGCCGCUCGCGCUUCGUUCCCCCGUCAUCGCCACUCAAGCCCACCCAUACCUCCCUCCCUCCUCCCAACCCCUGCCUGUCUCACCUGUCUCACCGGCGCAUUCCUCACCCGCAUUAACAUCCCCCGCGCAUCUCUUCUUUCCACGACUCCCAUCCGAUCCUUCCUCCUCCCAUCCACUCCUUCCUUCCCACAUCCCAUCCCAUCCCUCCUCCUGCCCGCCGCACCUCCCGCGGCGCGAAGCGCGGCAGCUCCGCGGCGCAGCAGCUGAGGAAUGCGUCCAUCCACUUGGGCGGCGGCUGGUGGCCCUGCCGCGCAAAGGCCCACAGCAGCGACGCCAGGCCGCGCGGCUGCAGCGCCGGCAGCUGCGGCUCCACGGCGGCGGCCAGGCCCGCAAGCAGCUCGCGGUCGGGCAGCUCCAGGCGGGCAAGGCUGAACGAGCGGCGGCGAGGGGCGGGGGGCGGGGCGGGGUCGGCAACCCGUCCAUUGCGACCGUCGUUUGGGGGUGGGCAGUGAUGCACGGUCGUGGCCCACGGUAUGGGCCAGAUGGCCCCCCCUCGCGGCCUGUGCGGCCCCUGGGUGCCCCCAGCGUCAUUCGGCCCGGGGCGCCUGCACGCGCUCAGCCCAUCAGUCCAUCAGACCAUCAGUCCAUCAGCCUUCACCACCCCCAGCAGUCCCUCACCUGUAAGCCGCCACCACCACCGCGCGCGGGUGCAGCUCCGUCAACUGCCGCCGCAGGACGCUCUGCAGAACCAGGGGACAGGAGGGUCAGGUGAAGCCAGACUAAGACCUGAGUGCAGCCGGUGGUUGACAGACGUUUGGCACCUCACGGCCCUCGUCCACAAGGCAUCUGUGUUGCGACGCCGCCCACAUACCAGGCCCUUACCAAAUCAGGCAGCCAGAUACUACGCCUGCAUGCCCCCGACCCUGCGACACAAAACCCCUGCUCAUCACGCGCCACACCACGACGGCCAGCAUACAUUGCUGCAUCCCCCUGACUUGCUUGCUGCCCUCCUAGCACGACUGCUAUGCCGUGCCCUGCCUACCCUGCACCGCUACACGCCGCCCGGUACCGCGGCCGCCAGCAGCCCGCACCUGCAGCGUGGAGCAGCCCUCCUUGAACAGCCGCGACUCGCGCGGGCUGAGGCCCCGCCGGUGCAGCGCGAGCACGCGGCUGAGCGCGGCACAGGAGUGGUAGACGUUGAAGUCGAGUGCGUUGUCCAGCAGCAGCUGGUGCAGCCGCGUGUAGGUGGGGCAGGUGGAGAUGGCGCGCGUGAGCGCCGUGCGCGCCUGCAGGCUGCUGGGCGGCGGCUGCCACGCCGGCAACGCCACGCUGUGGCGACUGUAGGGCCGCAUGUCACCGCCGCCACCGAAGGAGGCGGAAGAGGAGGAGUGCGGCUCGCCGGCAUCGCCGCCUGUGGCGGUCUGGAGCUGUUGCUGCUGCCGUUGCUUCUGCCGGUGCCGUUGCUGUUGGCGCAGCUGGUGGUCGUCGGGGUUGCCGCUGGCUGUAGCUGUGGUGGUAGGUGUGGCUGUAGCUGCUGCGGCCGCGGCGCCAGAGGUUGAUGAGGUCGAGCCGCCCUGGCCGGCAAAGUCGGGCGAGGUCAGGAAGGACACCAGGGCGUCUGGCCCCGUGGACGUGCCCAGUGGGUGGCUGCCGUUGCUGCCAUUGGCGCCGUUUGAGCUAUUUGAGCCGGUGGCUCCAGUUGUGGGGCUCGCUGCGCCCUUGGGUUUAGCUGCCCGUCGCCCUCGCCCCUUCGCCUCCCCGCCGGCCUGUCCCGCUUGCGCGGGCUCGGCGGGCGGGGCGUCGACUGCCCCGUCUGCAGGGCCCCCCGAGUCCGCUUUACGAGCCGGCUGGUGUAUGAGCUUGUAGGCGUUGUGAUAGCUCUGGAGCGACUGCAAGGUAUAUGGGUGUUGCGGGCACGCGCUCAACACACUGUGGCGACAAUCGCGGCACAGACGAUAGACGCUACUCAACGGACACAGCCCAAGACCCCUGUGCUAUGCUCCGUCUUGCCUUUUCCGUAUAAUAACAACCAAAAGGAGAGUAUUUAAGCUUUGGCAAAGUUUGGUGACCAUUCUACAGGGCCCUGCCCCGGCGCAGCCUGAAACGAGGCCCCAGCCACGCGCUUACCUGCGUUACUUGGCAUCUGAUUUGCUGAUGGCAUUUGCGCCCUCGCCGGGGAGUCAACCUGUGCACCAGGCGCAAGUGCAAGCAGAAGGCGUUAAAUCGUCUUAUCCGCUGCCUUCGCUGGCCCUCUGAGUGGCGCCCAUUCGAGCAGUGGGACCCAAACUGACCUAGUCCUGCAGUAUGAAACGCUUGGCGCUGAAUAGCUCGUGGACGGUGGACAAAGCGGCUCGCAGGCAGCGGGCCGAGCCGGCCACCCGCUCAUGGCAACACACUGAGUAUACCAGUAAGUCACCAAGUAAGAAACGGUUCAGGGUGCUCGCAUCGGCCAAUUCAGCCUCGCCCGAAGCUAGGCACCGCCGCAAUUCUACUCGUGUUUUGACCCAGGAUAAGGCUAGCUGUGACACUAGUAAUAAGGCUUAAAAGCACUUGUUCCAUUUCCACAAUGAAACCCUUUGCCUGUGACAGAGCCAAGCUGCGACCGCGUCCCAUGCAAUCAUGAGUUCCAAAUACUGCGUGUGCAAAGAGCAGACCCGAAUAGACAGGAAGCGUGUUCAUUCAAGUCAUUAACGUAGGCCAUCAUAAACACUAUCGCGCUAGAAAGGUUCACGCGUUCAUUUGUCCAGCUCAGCUGGAGCCUUACCGGGGUCAUCCGCACCUGCUUGGAAUACUGUCUUGUGCUGAGCACAUCAUGAUGCAGCAUUUAGGCGGCAAGGCUGCGUAUCGACAAGGCCCGGCGCCGGUUCGUUGCGGCACUCCACGCACGCGGGCAGUGAGGCUCGUCGUGCAUGCAACGCAAUCACAACAAUGUAUUGAUCUGAACGGCGCCAACGCGCUAUCGCGUCGGGGCAUGCUGCUGGGGCUAUUAGGUGAGAACCCGCGAUGGUGCUUGCGUUGCUGCGUUAGUGUUACAGAAUACGUAUAUAUGUAUUCGCAAACUAGGUUGUGACGCAGAUGUUAACGGCCCCUCGCAACCCACCCGCGCUCUUACUGUCCGUAGGGUGCGCCGCGUUGGUCGGGCCCCGCGCAGCUGCUGCAUCCAGCACCGCACCGGUGCCCAGCCCUGACGGCGCCGCCACCGCGCCCGCAGACCCCUCAGCAGUAUCCAGCACCAGUGCCGCGCCCAUAGGCACCGCGGAUGCAGCCCCCAGUAGCAUCACUAUCACAAGCAGCAGCAGCGGCCCGGACGCGGCUGCAGCCGGCGCCUCGUCGGCGGCACCCAACGCCAGCAGCGGCGCCCCCACAACCACCACAACCACCAUCACAACCACCACUACCCGCAUUCCAUUGGAUGACGCCUCGCUAACCGACGAGGCGGCGCGGCGGCUACUGAUAGAGGAGGAGGAUCGGCGCAAGCGACGGAAGAAGUCGCAAGGGCGCUUCAAGGAGCUUGAGGAUGUGCGUGAGGGGGUUGUAUAUACCAGCCCAAACUAAACCAAAUCAACCCAAACUAUUGGGGUUACUGUCGCGCGAAGUGCAGUAACCCGUACCGUGCGGCGCACACCCGCCGUACGGGAACGUUACGAAAUGGGGCUCGUGCCCAGCGGCACUUGUGGGAACGGCGUCCUGUGUUUAACCGUAGCGGGUUACGCAGGCAUGCGUGUAUGGCUGCGCGGCGUGCUGCACAAGUCUCGUCAAGCUGUCUCCUGCGUCUCCGCUGUGUCUCCUCAUGCGCUGUGUCCUGCCUGUCCUGCCGCCCAGAUCCGGAUCGAGCUGGCAGAGAAGGAGCUGGCCCUGCUGGAGAAGGAGAAGGCGCUGCUGACCAAGGAGCAGACGCUGGCCGUGCUGGCAGAGGAGGUGAGAGGACUCGGAGGGGCCAGACCGGGGUGGGGCGCGUGGGAUGGAGGACACGGGUGGAGAGGUGAGACAGCUGGCGCCAGCUGGGAGAGCGUCGACAAGAACAGAAAACGUGGGCUGCGCCUACGAACACGUGGCCUACGAAGUAUUAAGUGGCAUUCGCGGUUUGCGCCAGUAUUGAGUUUGGUGCCGACGCAUCAGCCACGCAUCACGCACGCACGCGCGGACCAGGGUGUCCCUGAGUCGCUCCGCUCCUGGGGCGCAGCCCAUAAAAGGGAGUUUGGAAAUGCAAGGACGGGAGUAAGGCUGUACACCUAAUCCGGCCUAGCACUGCGGUUUCUGCAGGCGGGAUGGUAUGGGCGGCCGAAGGGCUGGGCUGGACGGGAAGAGGGGGGCUGUCGACGAGAGCCUCAAUGUGCCCGUGUGGUCUGAGCCCGCCGUUCCAGCCGCAUGCCGCAGUUGUGUUUGCCCUGUGCAACUGACUCCAGACAUGGACUCCGGGCGUGGGCAUGGACUCCGGGCAUGGGCAUGGGGUGCCCCCGCGGAUUCAAGUGGCGGCCGUGGUCAUUCGUGCGAUGUGUACGCAGGUCGCGCCAUGCCCUGAUUCCCUGACACGCCCGCGUGCCGUGUGGCACUGCUUGACACCCACCUCACCUCUGCCGCACCCCCCGCAACCUGCACGCCCUGCACAGCUGGAACUGGAGCGCAAGCUGCGCGCGCUGCUGACAAAGGAGAAGGAGCGCGCGGAGGAGGAGGCCGCACUGGCGAUGGGGCUGUGCGGCGGCGGGCUGGGCUUUUAAUGGUGUUGGUGGGCCCUGUUGGUGAUGGUGGGGUUAUCGUGAUGGAGCGGUGAGGCUGAAGGGACGGGGGUUAGCAGGUGAAUGCUGCGAGGUCUUGCAAUGCACAGGGUUGCAGGCGUGAGCGGGCCGGGCAGGCUGUUGUUCUGGGCCGCUUACGGACGCGCGCGGGGCGAAGCAGGUGCGCUCCGUAGGCAUGGAGGGAAGGGGCGAACGGGCCACGUUGCUCGGAGGCCUUCCGCAGCUGCUCACGCUCCGCUUGCCGAUUCCCUUGAUACGCCACAUUGUGAGACUUGCACGCACGGAACUCCAGUAAAUUGAUUUGCAUGUAUUGGCGAGGAUGCGAGAUGCCUUGUCAGUGGGGAAAGUCACUGAAUGUGCUCACGGAAUAUAAACCCCAGCGUUGUUUGGAAGGUGAUGCCGUGCCAUGGCGGUGGGCCUGUGACAGAUCCGGCCGACAAUUCCUUCGCUUGCGUGCGCUCGGCACAGCCGCUCCAUCUGUGCACGGGCGCAACCGGCACAGGGUGGCCGAUGCUGCCGAGGGAUGGGACCUAGGUGGACCCAGGCCGGCAUGGUACGGGACUAGUCAUGUGAUGACGAGGCAGGCUGUGGUCUUGAGUGGUGGGCGGUGGCGGCCGGGUCUAAAUUGCGGUGGCGGUGUGGACUCUCUAUGUCGUGUGUGUCGAGUACGAACGAAAGCCAUAGUGCGGCGUGAAGGUGCCUAGCAACCUUGCCAACAGAUCUUGCCAACUGCUUGAUAAUGCACGUAAUGUGCGGCGCGCGGAGGUCGCGCAUUGAUUGGGUUUAUGCGACCUUGCACUUUCAUGUCCGGACGCGCGUUGCUAGCCUCGAGUCUUGGGAGCCGUGGGUUGGUCAACGGAUGCGACGGAGGAGACCAGCAGGUAUGGUGCGUUAAAGGAGGCGUGCGAGUGGUGGGCGCCGCAAGCACGCACGUGGCCGCCAGCGCGUGCGUUCGACACUUGAUGCGGCCUGCAGGGGCCGCGCUGCUUGUGUACCGUACUUGUGUAACUUGGAAGUGGUGAGCUACCGUAUUUGAUGGCUGCGCUCUUCGACAAUGCGCCGAUUCCGAAAGGACUGGCGUUGAAUGUGCCUGUACUGAUUGUGCGGUGUGUGCUGCACGCAAGCCGGUCGGUGUCGAGUCCACGUGCAUCAUGCUGGUGGGCGGCCCAGACUGCAGUCACGCACUGCACGGGCGACUUGUGGCACUGGCUUCAGCGGGCUUCCCUUGUAGGGACACGUGUGUGGAUGGGUUGCAUGCAUGCAGGCCCCGUGGAAGGACCCGAGGGCACCCACACUGGAGCAGGUGUCUUUUGUUUCAGGGGCCUCGGCCCAAGAAUGCGCAAUCCUCAACCCUGUGCUCUUCCUACGAGUCGCAUGCCAUUGGAUGACCGAAACAGGGUGAACGUGUGAUCAUCAUAGCAGGGGGCGCCAAUCUCUUUUGCACCCGCGCAAACUGCAUAUAAGAAUAGCUACGGAUGUCGUACAGGCACCCACACAUACUACCAGACCUGGUGCCUGCAGCGCAAGUCGUAUGCACGUGCACGUGCAUGAGCCAUGGAACCGACCGCAUCCUCAACCGAUUGCCAACCACGCCUCCAACACCAAAAACAUAAUCCAGGACCUUCGCAGUAAUGGCACCCGUAGGUACCGUACAAUCCCUCCACCAGUGUUUCUUUGUCGUGUACUUAAUGCAGGAUUGCAGGCCAGCAGCGCGCGUUGCGGCGCGUGCAUGUGGUGGUAUUAAUGCCUGGGUGCACGUACGGGCGCUUGGCACAUGCAUACGAAUGCGUGCAUACGAAUGCGUCAUUGCGACAAUGCUCAAGCACUGAUACCCCAGGAUGGGAUGUGUUUCUUACGCUUGACCGCUUGAGUCUUCACGGCGGCGGCAAUCGCCUCCAAACUCCACCGUGCGGCGGUGGACCCAUGCCAUGCAGCCUUACUUUAAUACAACAUACAUACUUAUUAGCAGUUGUCUGAUGCCGCCUUCUCGUCCCCCUCCUUGCAUAGCUAGCAGCUACAACCGUUUCCGCAACCCACUCCAUUCCCAAGUGCACAACAUUGUACGCAUGAAGAUAUGCCAUGACCGCCUGCCCUGUUGCCAUGCACACCACCCUACCUCCCAAAUCAUGCUUCAUGCUUCAGCAUGCUUCCCAAAUAUUUUGCAUACCCCUCCUCAAAUGGAUUUUGCAGGCCGCUUCCGAAGCACAUCAAGUACCAUCAACUACAUACCCUCCCCUCGAAUCUUGCGCGCCGCAAAACCGUACGCGAUCCAUCCAGCCCUCGGCUCGUGUAGCGCUACGCGCUUGCUUUGACACACACAACCUUGUCUGUUUUGUUCUUACUCCCGCCCAGCGAAAAGUAGCUCACCGGCAGCGCCGCAGCGGCGCCGCCGCCCGCCGGCCCGCCCAGCUCUACCACCGCGGCCGGCCUCUUGCCGUGCUGCUGCUGCUGCUGCUGCUGCUGCUGCUGCUGCUGCUGCUGCUGCUGCUGCUGCUGCUGCUGCGCGGCGGAGAAGCGCCGGAACACGGACCUCAAAUGGCUCUUCACGUCCGUCUCGGGCGGCACGUGGCUGAGCAACGCAGCCUUUUGCCACUUCCUAACAACGUGGCCCAGCCCUCCAAACCUGCACACCUGUGCCCCCUGCUAGCACCCUGUUCACCGCCCGCGCCUUGUUGUGGCCCCUCACCUUGUUGUGGCCCACGCACAUGAUGACCCAGUUCCUGGCGUCAUCGCACACCUCCAGCAGGCACUCGACGAUGUGGUCUCACGUCUGGCCAUCCAGCGCUGCCACCUGCACGUGCGGCCGCCCCGCGGUUGGUCUGAGCCCACUGCCCCCACGUGCGCGCUGCCAGGGGGUUGAGCCCCACCCAAGCAGCCAUGCCGACGCGACGCCCUGUCCGCCCUGUAGCUGUCUUGGCCGACACCAUACCCCUGCCAAAGCCCGACGCCAUAACUAUGCCACCUGCUGCCAUAAAUGCAACGGCCCGUUGACAAGCGACGGAGCCCGCUGCGCGCCCACUCUCGCCAUCAAUCUCAGGCACCGCCCCAGACAUAUGGUCACAGCACCGCGGGCAGCCAGCUGCAAGUGCCAGCCAUGUUGCUGCGGAACCGUACGCACCGUGUACAGGCUGCCGUAGUAGUGCGUGUCCACGUCAGCGAGCUCGUGCAUCACUUCCGCCAUCUCGUCCAAUGUUUGCUUAGUGCGCUUGCUGUUGGAGGCAAACACCAGAUCCGAUGUCCAGCCCCGCUCCUUCAGCAUCUUGGCAACCUGUGUGUUUGCGGUGCAGGGGGAGGUUGACCUCACCAUUGCCAAUAAUCAACCAGCGCCACGAGGAUGUAGGGGCGGCCAGGCAACUGGUAGGCAAGCGGCGGCGGAACUGGAAGAGAAGAGAAUGAAGAGGUCACGGCCGGUGGAGGCAUGGCUGGGUCAUGGCGCGUUGGCGGGCGACACGGGUGGGUGUGAAGUGCGCAGGUGCGGCGGCCUGGUGUAUCAGCACUGCCUCGCGUGACGAGACAGGUGCAGGUCUAAGCUGCGUUUGACUACAGCUCCUGGAGCUGCCAUGGCGCAGCUGCAAGGCGCUCAUAGACGACCAUAGCGCCCACCAAAGGGCGGCAGCACAGCAGCCUCAGAAGGCAGGCCAGCAGGAGGAUGCGGCGGCUGCUUCGGUGCGACGUCGCUAUGGCGAGGGCUUCCGCCCGUGCGUCUUCACGAGUCGCCGGAUGAGCCUGACGCAGAGCGCGUCGCAGCUCCCGCCCGACUACAGCCGCCGCGCGACACUGCUGCUACUGCGCCUGGUCGCGGCGGCGGCGGCGUUCGCGGCUGCAGCUGCCGGCCUGGCGGCGGCGGCGCUGUGGCUGCUGGGCUGGUGGCAGCUGCUGCUGGUGCUGGCGGAGGCCUCGUUUGCGGUACACUACAGGCGCAAGUGAGUACGGCGGGGGAAGAGCAGGGAGCAAGCUGACGCCCGUGAUUGGGGGAUGUCGGGAGAAAAGUUUGGGAUACGUCUCGUCGGAGUUGGUUCAGUUGUGGCGCGUCGACGAUCAUCGGGCGCGAUGACACCGGGCACCGCGGGCAGAGGCGGGGGCUUGAAGCGAGCGUGGAGUUGAAAGAAGAAACGGAAGCCUUGAUAUAGUCAUACUGCUUUACUUACUUUUGCGAGCAUCGGCUUCAACAGACAUCUCAGCUUUGCCGAGUCACGCGACCAAGCUGCCAAACGUGCGCUAUGGCAAACGACGACAUUAGGCAUGAGCUGCAGGAGUUUAAGCUGCAGGUCGCGGAGCAGCAGCGGGCGCAGGAGCAGCGCUGGGGGCAAGAGAUGGCCGCCCUCAAGCGCGCGCUGUACGUAAUCACCAAGGGUAAGCUUGACGCGUAAGCUGCGGGGCCGGAACCGUGCUUGCUCUUGCUCUUCAGAAGAAUGCUCAAAGUUCGCCAUCGCCAGUCCGUGGAGAAUAGGAGCGCGACUAUAGCUGCACUGGUCUUUGACCCCACUGGUGUUCGUAACCCACUGGUGUUCGUGUGGCAUGCGCAGAGGACGUCGCCCAACUGCUGCGCCUGGCCCUUUCAGUCAUCGGCUACGGACAGCGCUCCUCCAGCCCAGCGCACGAAAAGCUAGCUUAGCUGCUCCUCCCCUGCUUCGCAGUGGCGGACGUGUACGCUGUGGCCACCACCUUCCUGGCGGCGUACUUGAAGACGACGCUGCCCGGAAAGGACACAGUGAGCCUGGUAAAGCAAUCCAUUAUGACCUGCUGGCUUGCCGUACAGCAGCAUUCCCCAUUGAAUCCAAUCAACGGGCAGCAGCGCUGCUCCUGCGUCCGCAGCUCUCCGCUGCUGCUCCGCGACCUGCAGGUUAAAACACCUGCAGCUCAUGCUUAUUGUCGUCGUUUGCCAUAGCGCACGUUUGGCAGCUUGGUCGCGUGACUCGGCAAGGCUUCCGUGAUCACUUUGCACGGCUACUAAAUGAUGGGGCAGGAACAGUUGACGACAGCGCUGCAAAGCAAUUACUGGCGUACUGCUGUGACGAAGAUGGCUGGCAAGAUUCGAUGUAUGAUGAUGAGGAAUGGGCUGAGUUAGAUAGCAUAUUGAACAGCGAUAUCUCGAUAGACGAAGUGACUCAUGCUUUAGAGAGGCUACCGAAUGGCAAGGCCCCAGGCAUGGAAGCCGCGCCAUCGGAAUGCUACAAGUACGCGAAGACGCAGGGAGACCCUGCCGUGCAGAAGGAUAGCCUAGCUCACGAUGCACUAAUUGAUGUAGUACAAGACGCGUUAGUACACCCAGAGGGAGAUGGGUGGUGUGCACGUCUUUUCCGUUUUAUCUCAGCGCAUGGCGUAGACGUAUGGCAAGGCCGUAUGCACAUGAUCAGGCCUGCACAUGAUCAGGCCGGAAAGGGAGGAGAGCCGAGCAGGUAGCCCGCUGCCUGAAGGGCAAAUAGUAUCCGCCUUUCGAGAGAGUCUAAUGAAGGCGUGGAAGCACGAGCGGCUGCAGUCUGAGCCAAGCACUUUCCCAUCAGACAACAAGCAACCAGGCGUGCAGAUGAGCAAGUACAAGCAUUGGAUGGGGCUGUGUGCGGAAGGAGCGGCACCACUGACCAUGCAAGGGCACAGUAGAGCAUUUAUACCAGUUGCACACCACAAGGCCUUGAUGAGGUUCCGCCUAUGCUGCUGGCCGCUUACUGCCAACCGCGCCUAUGGACGACCUAGGGAGGAGAUUUGCCCGUUAUGUGUUGCAAAUGAAGUCGAAGAUGAGAAUCAUGUGCUCAUGCGGUGUACGGCCUACGACCAGUUGCGUUCGGGUAGCGAGAUCGAUUUUACAGGCGGGAUGCAGCAGGCCGUUAUGCAGAAUGCGGACCCAGCCAGGUUAGCCGCGUCCAUUUGGGAGCACAGGAGCAGAAGCACCCCCAUUCGGGGACCAAACUAGCUGCAUAUAUAAGUGUUGCAGGCGUUUUAAGGGCCCCCCGGCCCGGGCCUCGGUUUCUACAAGGACAGGAAUGCACGUCGUGCUCACCACCUUGUAACCACACACAACAACUCGGCAAGGCACACGCACACGCACCUGAAUGUAUCCGAGUGUAGCGGAAGAUCACGUGAGAGGCCUGUGUGUGUUUCAAAAAACUAUGUGUGUGUGUGUGUGUGUGUGUACACUAGCGUGUGUGUGCGGACAGCAUUAGUGAGUUUUAUUGCACUGAUUACAGGCUGGUCUUGAUGAGGUGGCACGCUGCUCGGUAAAAAGAAGGCAGUUGCAGUGCUAGAGUCAUGGAACGCGUGUGCCAUCCGGUGCACUGGCGCCCCUACCUCACAGUGUGCGUGAUCGUACGUACUCAAGAGGGCCUACACACGCACAUCUAUAUCCCCUCCUCGCCCUCCACAGCAGCUGCCAACAGCAUCAGUGGCCCCCAUCGUAGCAGAGAGGCUAGCGCAUGCCCACGCAGACACGCUCACAUAUACACGCACCAUGUUGAGUGACGCCACCGGGCCCUGCAUGUCCUUCAGCAUUACCACCGAGAGCGCGUACAUGACAAUGACUGCGACGUUUCACAGGAAGAAUGGGACCUGUGCUGUUCAUCAUAUGGUACAUGUCAUCAUGCAAGUGUAAGAAAGGAGCAGGCGCGCGUGUCGCCAGCAUUCAUCUAGCGCUCGUCCAGUUGGUACGGUAUUGCAUAAACUGUGCACCUCGCCUUACCCAUGCCCUCGUCCCAAUAGGUGCACAGCCACACUAACGUGGCCGCAGGCCUACCUGGUUUGCUGCAGCACCGGCGUUUGAGGCAUCCCUAGCGCGCCCCACCGCUAGUGCUCUGCACGCAGCUGCUGUGUAGCGGUCCGACGCCACGCCAGGCAAGGAUCGAAGCGCCUGCCAUCGGCCAGCCCUGGCCAGCCAGCGCGCUGCCAGCUGCGCCUAGGCCGACGGCGUUGCAGGCGGCACGCCCCUGGGGUCCAGAGCAGGGUGUUCGUUCUCCACGUCACUGGCUCGUGAACUGCGUCAGCAGGUCCCUCUUGUAACCAAUGCAAUCUGCGCCUGCGGGCCGGCCUCAUUCCACUGGCCCUGCUGCUGUCACUUGGUAUCACCGUCGCCGCUGUUCAUCAGCACGGCGGCGGCAUCAGCCGCACUUAGCCCGUCUGCUUCCUCAAGUGCAGCAGCCUCGUGGCUCGUUAGGUCCAUGCCCAGCACCACAGCUGCGGCCGCGCUGGGUUGGCUGGCCUCCAGUGGAGGAAGAGGUGGUGGACCGGGCUAUACGUCAAGACUUGAAUGAUUCAUUGAAAGCCCAGUCUAAUAAAGCUCAGAAUGUCUUUUGAAGAGAAGAGGAGACUGAGGAAGAGCAAGUUGACGCGAGCUGUGGCUUAUGUUUAACCAGGGGGUGGGUGUUUCCCUCUGGGCCGGAGACGGUCCCUCGCGGCGGUGUGCCCCUUACGGCCCCUUCAAUGUCUGUCCCUUCAAUUGUAACUCGCAACCUUAUGUUUGCGCAUCUUCCGUUCGAAUUAUAAUGCCAUGUGUGAAAUAACAUACGGUAAGACAUUGAUGCAGCCACGCACCAAAAGUCGGUUCC